GCGAGAAAGAAUUGCUAUAUUAUAUCACUUCACAACAUGAAACCUUCAAGUUUGUGUCAUCCAAGAGAUUUGAAUAUCACAUGUGAAACAUGUUUUAUCUACAAACAAAUGUUUAACUUUAUCUUUAUGGUAUAACUUAACCACAUCAUCUAGAGAGUUGGAACCGGUUUUAAAAAUACCACCAAAAAUGUUUGAGGCAGUGAACUAUCACAAAGCUUCAAAACAAAUAUAU